GAUGAACGCUGGCGGCGUGCUUAACACAUGCAAGUCGAACGAUGAAGCCCAGCUUGCUGGGUGGAUUAGUGGCGAACGGGUGAGUAACACGUGAGUAACCUGCCCUUAACUCUGGGAUAAGCCUGGGAAACUGGGUCUAAUACCGGAUAGGAGCGUCCACCGCAUGGUGGGUGUUGGAAAGAUUUAUCGGUUUUGGAUGGACUCGCGGCCUAUCAGCUUGUUGGUGAGGUAAUGGCUCACCAAGGCGACGACGGGUAGCCGGCCUGAGAGGGUGACCGGCCACACUGGGACUGAGACACGGCCCAGACUCCUACGGGAGGCAGCAGCGGGGAAUAUUGCACAAUGGGCGGAAGCCUGAUGCAGCGACGCCGCGUGAGGGAUGACGGCCUUCGGGUUGUAAACCUCUUUCAGUAGGGAAGAAGCGAAAGUGACGGUACCUGCAGAAGAAGCACCGGCUAACUACGUG
rnacentral:rRNA from 1 species